rnacentral:lncRNA from 1 species
UCAGGUUAAGGUCAGGGUCAGGGCUGGGGUCAGGGUCAGGGUUAAGAUUAGGGUCAGGGUCAGGGUCGAGGUCAGGGUCAGGGUCAGGGUUGGGGUCAGGGUUUAGGGUUAGGGUCAAGGUCAGAGUCAGGAUUAGGAUCAGGGUCAGGGUCAGGGUCAAAGUCAAGGUCAGGGGUCAGGGUUGGGGUCAGGGUCACGGUUCAGAUUAGGGUCAGGGUCAGGGUUGGGGUCAGGGUCAAGGUCAAGGUCAGGGUCAGUUUUAGGGUCAGGGUCGGGGUCGGGGUCAGGGUCGGGGUUGGGGUCAGGGUCAGUUUUAGGGUCAUUUUUAGGGUCAGUUCCAGGGGGUGGGGGUGGAAGCGGCCGCACCGCGGCGAUGUCGACGGGCAGCCCGGCGCGCGCCGCCUCCAUGAUGGCGGCCACGGCUUUGGCGCGGCGCAGGAACUGCAUGGCGCCGCCCAGGUCCUGCAGCUGCUUGCGGCGCAGCGCCGCCUCCUGGAGCUGCAGCCGCCGCCCCGCCAGGAACUGCAGCUGCUGCUGGGCUGCGCCGGGCGGGCGGCCGUCAGAAUGGGGCACUGCAGCGCGGCCCUGCCAGGACCUGGCAGCUCCGCCACCCAACGCAACCCAAUACAACCCAAUACAACCCAAUACAACCCUGCCAGGACCUGGCAGCUCCGCCACCCAACACAGCCCAACGCAACCCAAUACAGCCCUGCCAGGACCUGGGAGCUCCUUCCAACCCAACGCAGCCCAACGCAGCCCUGCCAGGACCUGCCAUGUUCCCCCCCACUCCUCCCUCCUGGGACCUGGGAGCUCCUUCCAAUCCAACCCUUCCAAGACCUGUAGGAUCCU